rnacentral:tRNA from 1 species
GCCCGGGUGGUGAAAUAGGUAAACACAAGGGACUUAAAAUCCCUCGGCAUAACAGCCUUGCGGGUUCGAUUCCCGCUCCGGGUA